AGUGAACGCUGGCGGUAGGCCUAACACAUGCAAGUCGAACGGCAGCACAGUAAGAGCUUGCUCUUACGGGUGGCGAGUGGCGGACGGGUGAGGAAUACAUCGGAAUCUACUUUUUCGUGGGGGAUAACGUAGGGAAACUUACGCUAAUACCGCAUACGACCUACGGGUGAAAGCAGGGGAUCUUCGGACCUUGCGCGAUUGAAUGAGCCGAUGUCGGAUUAGCUAGUUGGCGGGGUAAAGGCCCACCAAGGCGACGAUCCGUAGCUGGUCUGAGAGGAUGAUCAGCCACACUGGAGCUGAGACACGGUCCAGACUCCUACGGGAGGCAGCAGUGGGGAAUAUUGGACAAUGGGCGGAAGCCUGAUCCAGCCAUACCGCGUGGGUGAAGAAGGCCUUCGGGUUGUAAAGCCCUUUUGUUGGGAAAGAAAAGCAGCAGGUUAAUACCCCGCUGUUCUGACGGUACCCAAAGAAUAAGCACCGGCUAACUUCGUG
rnacentral:rRNA from 1 species